rnacentral:rRNA from 1 species
GAUGAACGCUGGCUGCGUGCCUAAUACAUGCAAGUCGAGCGAACGGACUAGAAGCUUGCUUCUCUGAUGUUAUCGGCGGACGGGUGAGUAACUCGUGGAUAACCUACCUAUAAGACUGGGAUAACUUCGGGAACCCGGAGCUAAUACCUGAUAAUAUUUUGAACCUCAUGGUUCAAAAGUGAAAGACGGUCUUGCUGUCACUUAUAGAUGGAUCCGCGCUGCAUUAGCUAGUUGGUAAGGUAACGGCUUACCAAGGCAACGAUGCAUAGCCGACCUGAGAGGGGGAUCGGCCACACUGGAACUGAGACAAGGUCCAGACUCAAACGGGAGGCAGCAGUAGGGAAAGGUACGCAAUGGGCGAAAGCCUGACGGAGCAAAGCCGAGUGAGGGAUGAAGGGCUGCGGAUAGGAAAACUAUGUUAUUAGGGAAGAACAUAUGUGUAAGUAACUGUGAACAUAUUGAAGGUACCUAAUCAGAAAGCCACGGCUAACUACGUG